GUCUGUGGCCACACCCUGGACACGCCCAGUGCCAUCUGAUCUGGUAAGCUAAGCAGGGUCCAUCCUGGUUAGAACUUGGAUGGGACACCGCCUGGGAAUUCCAGGUGCUGUCUGUG
rnacentral:rRNA from 1 species